ACGGGGGGGCAAGCGUUGUUCGGAAUUACUGGGCGUAAAGGGCGCGUAGGCGGUUGGAUAAGUCAGCUGUGAAAACCACGGGCUUAACUCGUGGCCUGCAGUUGAGACUGUCUGGCUUGAGUGUGGGAGAGGAGAGUGGAAUUCCUGGUGUAGCGGUGAAAUGCGUAGAUAUCUGGAGGAACACCGGUGGCGAAGGCGGCAUUCUGGACUGCAACUGACACUGAAAGACGAAAGCCAGGGGAGCAAACGGGA
rnacentral:rRNA from 1 species